AGAGUUUGAUCAUGGCUCAGAAUGAACGUUGGCGGCGUGGAUUAGGCAUGCAAGUCGAACGGGUUUAGUAGCAAUACUGAACCAGUGGCGUAAGGGUGAGUAAGGCGACGGCAACCAACCCCAUGGUUGGGCAUAGCCGCGGGAAACUGCGGGUAAUUCCCAGCGAUGUUCGUACCGGGCAUCCGGUGUGAACCAAAGUUCUGGCGCCGUGGGACGGGCCGUCGUGGUAUAGGUAGUUGGCGGGGUAAUGGCCCACCAAGCCUGUGAUGCCUACCGGGCGUGCGAGCGUGGCCCGGCACACUGGGACUGAGACACUGUCCAGACUCCUACGGGAGGCUGCAGUCGAGAAUCUUCGGCAAUGGGCGCAAGCCUGACCGAGCGACGCCGCGUGGAGGAUGAAGGCCUUCGGGUUGUAAACUCCUGUCGAGGGGGAGGAAGGGGUAACCUUGACCUAUCCCUGGAGGAAGCACGGGCUAAGUUCGUGCCAGCAGCCGCGGUAAGACGAACCGUGCGAACGUUAUUCGGAAUCACUGGGCUUAAAGCGCGUGUAGGCGGAUGGGGACGUCGGAAGCUGAAAUCCCCCGGCUCAACCGGGGAACUGGCGCCGAAACGCCCCGUCUGGAGGGACGUAGGGGGACCUGGAACUUCCGGUGGAGCGGUGAAAUGCGUUGAGAUCGGAAGGAACGCCCGUGGCGAAAGCGAGGUCCUGGACGUUUUCUGACGCUGAGACGCGAAAGCUAGGGUAGCGAACGGAAUUAGAUACCCCGGUAGUCC
rnacentral:rRNA from 1 species